AGAGUUUGAUUCUGGCUCAGAACGAACGCUGGCGGCGUGGAUAAGACAUGCAAGUCGAACGAGAGAAUUGCUAGCUUGCUAAUAAUUCUCUAGUGGCGCACGGGUGAGUAACACGUGAGUAACCUGCCCCCGAGAGCGGGAUAGCCCUGGGAAACUGGGAUUAAUACCGCAUAGUAUCGAAAGAUUAAAGCAGCAAUGCGCUUGGGGAUGGGCUCGCGGCCUAUUAGUUAGUUGGUGAGGUAACGGCUCACCAAGGCGAUGACGGGUAGCCGGUCUGAGAGGAUGUCCGGCCACACUGGAACUGAGACACGGUCCAGACACCUACGGGUGGCAGCAGUCGAGAAUCAUUCACAAUGGGGGAAACCCUGAUGGUGCGACGCCGCGUGGGGGAAUGAAGGUCUUCGGAUUGUAAACCCCUGUCAUGUGGGAGCAAAUUAAAAAGAUAGUACCACAAGAGGAAGAGACGGCUAACUCUGUGCCAGCAGCCGCGGUAAUACAGAGGUCUCAAGCGUUGUUCGGAAUCACUGGGCGUAAAGCGUGCGUAGGCUGUUUCGUAAGUCGUGUGUGAAAGGCGCGGGCUCAACCCGCGGACGGCACAUGAUACUGCGAGACUAGAGUAAUGGAGGGGGAACCGGAAUUCUCGGUGUAGCAGUGAAAUGCGUAGAUAUCGAGAGGAACACUCGUGGCGAAGGCGGGUUCCUGGACAUUAACUGACGCUGAGGCACGAAGGCCAGGGGAGCGAAAGGGAUUAGAUACCCCUGUAGUCCUGGCAGUAAACGGUGCACGCUUGGUGUGCGGGGAAUCGACCCCCUGCGUGCCGGAGCUAACGCGUUAAGCGUGCCGCCUGGGGAGUACGGUCGCAAGAUUAAAA
rnacentral:rRNA from 1 species